rnacentral:rRNA from 1 species
GACGAACGCUGGCGGCGUGCUUAACACAUGCAAGUCGAACGAAGAGCGAUGGAAGCUUGCUUCUAUCAAUCUUAGUGGCGAACGGGUGAGUAACGCGUAAUCAACCUGCCCUUCAGAGGGGGACAACAGUUGGAAACGACUGCUAAUACCGCAUACGAUCUAAUCUCGGCAUCGAGGAUAGAUGAAAGGUGGCCUCUACAUGUAAGCUAUCACUGAAGGAGGGGAUUGCGUCUGAUUAGCUAGUUGGAGGGGUAACGGCCCACCAAGGCGAUGAUCAGUAGCCGGCCUGAGAGGAUGAACGGCCACAUUGGGACUGAGACACGGCCCAGACUCCUACGGGAGGCAGCAGUGGGGAAUCUUCCGCAAUGGACGAAAGUCUGACGGAGCAACGCCGCGUGAGUGAUGACGGCCUUCGGGUUGUAAAGCUCUGUUAAUCGGGACGAAAGGCCUUC